GCUAUAUAUCAACAAGGGCUUUAAAAAUCACGAGGAACUAACCUGGCUGAGUUUCAGACUAAAUUUAGAAGACCCUCAUGCACUUGGCUAUUUGGUCUUUACAACAAUCCCAUUCGCCUCAAGUGCAGAGAAUGGGUAGCAGAAGGGAUGAGGAAUUGUCAUCUCCUCAAGGGACAGCAAAGGUAAAAGAGGUUAGGACACAGGAAGAUGAGGGAAGAGUCCGCAAUGGCAGAGACACUCACUGAGUCUUCUCCAAAACAUCUCUCGAUUAAAUUCUUCAGCUGUCUCCUGGGCUUCGCCGACUUGAGGAAUGCCGGACCACCCCAAAAGCAAAAGACAGUGUAGCGACCCCGCCUUCCCAGACAGCCUGGCCAUCAGUCCUGGCCUUCGCCUGCCUAGAGACCCGCCUACCGGAAUCCAGCCCACUCAGAAACCAGACCACGCCUCCCGGCGGCCAAGAAACCUGCCCACGCCCCGCUGGCCCUGGCCUAGAGACGCAGC